GUUUUCUUCUUUUUCAGGACAAGUACUCUCUUUAUGAUGACCAGUCCAUUGAAUAUUACUCUAUGGGCCAGGCAAGGGCGACUCCGAACAGUCGAAGAAAAACGAAGAUAGUUUGUACAAUUGGUCCCUCCACAAGUACAGAUAAAGACUGGGAAGAUAUCAAGUUUGGAGUGGACAACCAAGUCGAUUUCUAUGCUGUCUCUUUUGUAAAAGAUGCUAGAGUGGUUCAUGAGUUGAAAUAUUAUCUUAAAAAUUGCAAUGGAGACAUUCACGUGAUUGUAAAAAUUGAAAGUGCAGACUCUAUCCCAAAUCUUCAUUCAAUUAUUCCUGCAUCUGAUGGGGCAAUGGUUGCUCGUGGGGACCUUGGAGCUAAACUUCCGAUUGAGGAUGUUCCUCUGUUAUAGAUUCUGUCAUGAAUGAAAUUUCCUUGUGACGUACAGGAGGACAUAAUUAGAAGGUGUCAAAGAAUGCAGAAACCAGUUAUUGUAGCAACAAACAUGCUGGAGAUCAUGAUUAAUCAUCCUACGCCAACAAGGGCAGAAGUCUCUGACAUUGCAAUAGCAGUACGGGAAGGUGCUGAUGCGGUCAUGCUUUCUGGAGAAACUGCCCACGGAAAAUAUCCAUUGAAAGCUGUCAAAGUAAUGCAUACUGUGGCAUUGAGGACUGAGUUAAGUCUACCAAUUAGCACUGCUCCUCCAAAUAUAUUGAGUACAGAUAAGCGCUGGAAAUCGAAGCUUUUCAUCUAAUGCCCCACUAAUUGAAAUCUCUGAUGCUCAGAUUUUCGUUCCAGAUGUGAGUCUUUUUCCUUUUUCUUUUUGCUUUGUAUAAAUGUAGUUUAUUCAUUAAUUGGGUGCUUAUAAUGAAUGGAUACAAAAUAUUAGAUUAAACCCUGAAACUGUUUGUAAUAAGUCUUUAAAGAGAAUUAGAUGAACUAACUUUUUUCCUUCUCAUCAGUGAUAAAAAAGUACUUAAAGAACAAGCUGGAACUUUUUAAUUAAUGGCAUAUUUAUGAAGACUUGACAUGUGUUCAUGUGUUGAGGUUUUCUAUCAAGUUUUUGCAUUUUUAGUUACUGUUUGGAUAACCUCAUUUAAAAAACUUGUCAAUGACUCUGUUUUUUUAAUUGUAAUGUUGAUUUAAUAAUGCUAAUAUUUUAAAUGAAAGGUUUGUUUUGAAUGCUUUUUCUUAUGAGACUAAAUUUUUUUUAUUGUAUUUUAAGUAGUGGAUUCUUUUAAGUAGCAGUCUUUCUUUUUCCCUAGGAAACAUUGACCUGACUGGUUAAUUGCUGUUAAUCCUUUGGUCAAAUAUUUGAUAUAAUUGUUGUCAUAUUUAACCAGUGGCAAGAGAAAGAUACAGCAAUCUUAGUAACAAGAGAUAUAAUUGGUAUUUGUCUACUAGGAGAUACCAUCUUAGUACCUACUUACCUAUAAUCACUAUUGACCAUUUUUGAAAGCUUAAAAAUUUGAGUUAGUACCUACCUAUAAUCACUAUUUUAAUAUGUUUGGUAAAAUAGGAGAACACACAUAAUAUUUUGAGUAAUUUUUCUUAGGAAGGAAAAUAGAUCUCUUUGUAUUGUUUUUUUUUUUUUUUUGCAUGUUUGAUAAGUUAUGAAUGACCUUUAUUAAGGUAUAAACUGUUGUCAGAUUUUUUUUCCCGUACAUAAUGUUUGACAAUAGCUUGCUCGU